rnacentral:tRNA from 1 species
GGAGAAAUGGCUCUGUGGUUAAGAGCAUUUGUUGCUUUUGCAGAAGACCCAGGUUCAAUUCCUAGUACCCUCA